UCCAGCUUGGGCCAGGCUAAACCCUUGCUGGUUCUUGUGCCAUUGUCAUAGAAAAAAAAGUACAGAACUCAGGAGACAAUUAUUAUUACUUGUAGUUUUAAUAUUAUUUUUUUCCCUCAGAAUAGCAUCAGUUUGCUGUGCCUCAGCUGUGUUGUCUGAUCAGGGUUAACAGAAUUAAAAAGUGGUGAAUUGUUUAUAAAAUCCUAGUGAUGAUUCAUUGGCAAUCUGAUACAAAGCAAUCUGAUGAUUAAGAAUGCAAGUUUCAUAUUACCACUUUUCCAACCACAUUUGUAGGUAGAAGCAAUUAAAAAUCCUCAGAAGAAAUAUGUCUCAGAGCGUCUGUUCUUUGUCUUUUAUUGAUUGUUGACUCAUAUGAGGCUAUGGAAGGUGCUGACAGAUUCUACAGUACCUCUUUUUAACUCUGAAAAUCCAUUUUCCAGUCCUCUGUGAAGGCUGAGAUCUGCUCUCUUCUGGCUCUGUUGGCAGUUCUAUUUCGAUUUUCCUCUCUGGUUCCAGAUCUGUUUGACUUCUUCUGAGCUUAGGAAGGAAGCACUGAUGUGAAUGAGAGAGGAGAGAGAGACAUGUGUCUGCGGGUGAUGUUUAUUCCCCUGAACUGCACAUGAAGCCUCAUUCGAGAUGUCAGAGUCACUGGGCCAGAGUCAUUACUGACUUGUGAAACAAAGCCUGGGUAGCAACAACAAACAUCUGGUCCAGUUCCUUGAAGAGUGGCCAAAAGGCAGAGAAGGGAAUCUGUUUUUCAUCUUGUCUUUUGCAGCAGGACGGCAUUUAUGGGCUUUGGCUGGGGACAAGUGUGUAUGGAGAUGUGGGAAGCACCCCUGCAACUACUAGGGUCCUGGGGUAUUUGCAGACACCAGACCUAGGACCUCAGAUCCACCUUUACUAGCCCUGCGUCUAAGCAGAGGUACUUCCACUUGCAGUUGCUUGUGGCCUGACUGCUACCUGGGGACGAUCACUGUAUCUUCUGGAUGCCACAGGAAUUUUGGACCAUGACCCCAUGGCCUGUUGUAGGACCUGCUUGGCCUGAUCUUUCAGUUUGGCCUGUGUGUAUGAGGUUUGAUGUUUCUAGUCCUUGACUAUCCUGUUAGCUAGAGGAAUCCCUGCAGCCUUUGGCCCCUGUACAAGGGGACUGCAGAUGACUGACUUUUCAGUGAAGCUCAGAAGUUCUUUCUAAAAAGCCAAUAAUUGCAACAAGUCAAACACACAGUUUAUGUCAACCCUGAUUUACUGUAAUGAAACAAUUAUUGCUGCCUUUCUGUGAUACAGUUUGGAGAUCGUCCCAACUGGCUGGACUGAGUGCCUUGGACAACAGACUUGGCCUCAUUUCCCCCCUGGUUUAACAAAGAAAUUGCAAACCUGCACGUGCUGCUGCUUCCACUGCUUCAGAAUGAGAUUUUAUCAGUGUGUCAGUGGCUCAGCUAUGUUGUCGUUCCUUUGUAUCUUCUUAAACUAGAUGUCUGAAAACAGCAGGAGAGAGAAACGAUGUAUCUGAGGAGUGUUGGCUCUUAAUUAAAACCAUUUGCAAAACAAUGGACAACUUGAGAAGCAGAUCAAGGCUCUGGUCUGCAGGUAGUGUCACCUGAGUUAGCUCAGAAGCAGCUUCCUGAUUAGAGCAAGCCCAGCGGUCCCUGUGUUUAUGUAGGAGCUGUGGAGUUGAAGAUCAUGAGGGUCGCUGUAUUUGCUGCUCAUGUGGGCCGCCUUUUCUGCACUGAAUUGGCACAGCUCCAUUAAGCAAAGCUCCCCCCGUUUCUGAGAACCCUGCCCGCAGGAGCUGCAUCCCUCCAGCUGACCUCCCAUUGCUCUCGAUCAAAUGUCACCUGUACCCAAUGAAGCAGACCCCGAAGUGCCGCGAAUGGAUCCCAGGAUUCUUAUUUUCCUUCUCUACGUGAUGAUCCUUCAUGAGCUGGUGAGUGGCUGGAUGGAGUACCAGAAGCAGAUAGCCAAACCGAAGAAGCAGGCGGGUCCAGUUUGGUCUUCUAGCAACACCACCAGAUCCAACCACUCCAGCUUCUCCAGGCCUCUGGUCCACUCAGUGCGCAGGGAGAGGUACAGGGACUGGAGGAAACCGGGGCGGAUCAUCCGGAAAGCGUGAGGAUGCAUCUGUUGGGGAGCAUGGGGAGAGAUUACUGAGCCAGAGGCAGCCAUCUCUCCUGAGGUCUGCACCGACUUACCACCUGUCAGCAGCAGCUGGCAUGAAAGCAUCCUCCAGGCACCGUGAUCUGCAACCUGCAGCUUUCUCCUUUGCACUGAGCCUGGCACAGCCGAGAAGGAACCAGCCCCUUCCUCCUGGGAACCUGUCCCUGCGUGGGUCGAGUAGAUGGAGAGUAGAUUUCUUGGGGGAAGAAUGAAAUUUGCUCCUGCAUGGGCAAUCCUGGGAAGCCUCCAAAUGGUUUCAGUCUCCUCUCCUUCCUCCCAAGGACUGCAUGGCUGGUAAGCAGCAUUUCCCAAAGUGACUGGAAAGUCUUUGGUGUCCAGUUUGUCACCAUUCCCAGGAGAACUUGCCUCCAGUGGGGCACCCAGAAGUCACAACACUUUGGAAAUGCUGGCUCCCUGUUAAGUCUCAUUCACUGGGAGUCUGUACAUUUUUUUCUGCUUUUCUUUACCUUUGUUAAAUGAGUUACUCCAAGGUGAAAGGAGAAAGCACCCUGAACCAGUGAUGCAGAGUUACACCACCAAAUGCAAUUUACUGCAAUGACCUUGUAAUUAGAUUUCUUUGGAGCAUUCCCAGCAGUUGAGCCAAAUGUAAGAGCGACUUUCUAAUGAGCAGAUAGAUGGGAAAGGAAUACAAUAUUGGUCUUUUAUUAAAGUCUGUGAUUUAGGCAUAAAAUCAGAUUUUUAGAGGCAAAAAUCAGUUGUUGCAUCCUGCCACCCCACAUAGCAGUUGUAUGCAGGAUGGGAAUUGCUGAGCGCAGGAGAGAUUCUGACACUGAGCUCCUAACAGCAAAUGUCCAUGGCCAAACUGCCUGCCUUAUUUGCUGAACAAAAUGUUUGGCUCAAAAGCAGCCUGUUUUUCUCGUUGCCAACCAUUAUAAACUUGACUCAGGCUCACAGACGCAUUAUCCAGAAGUAGAUAGGGAUGGGAGUCGGAAUAGAUUAUGCAUUCAUUAUCCAGAGGUAGCCACCAGAUACAUUUGCACAUUUGUCUGCUGCUCAGUUGUUUGCAAAUUGUUCCUGUCGGUUAACACUGUGUUUGUUCAGUCACCCACGGCAGCAGUCACCUGGCCCAAGGUAGAGCUCUGCACCUGAGCUAGGCAUCCAGACCCCUGUGCUGCAAAGUGGGGCACGUGAGGGGCUGUGAUCCAUCUCCUCCAAAGUUAAGCAUCAAGAGCAAGCUAGCUGAACCAUGCUUUUGAAGUGCCCCAUCCUCUACUCCAGGCAGGCUGGAUAAGAAACUCAGAUGUCAACCUCUACUUUUAGGGGAGAUGAAGUUUUUGCCUUGGGAGGUUAAUUUCAUGCCUUGUGUUUGGAUAUUUUUGAAAAAGGAGAUAGGAGUAGCAGUUAACACUUUCUGCACAUUUCAAAGCAUAAACUCUCUGCAAAGAUGUACCUCCGCUCUGUGACACUGUGGCUAUUUUCUGAGGCAUCCACUGCCUAUCCUAAUACAUGCAGGUACAUCUACAAGUAACAGAGCAACAAAUGGAGAAGGUGUCAGGAGGAAAAAUACUCAAAAAGUGUUUCGGGGUGGUGGGGGACUUUACUUCCCUAGAGUUGAGUCUGCCCUGGUCUUAUGGGGGACGUGCAGCUGGAUGUUCUCCCUGCUCUUCUACUAGAGUGUGUGUGAAUUUGCUGGGAGCACUUGCUAUUCAAAAAGUGUUUACAUUAAUUACUGAAGUGGUGUUGGAUAGGACUGGCCUCACUGUACAAGCUGGGCCCCAGCCUCAAUGGGACAGAUGGACUUGAGCAAGGACAGGUGGACCUGAAUGGGGCAGGCAGAUGUCCUGACUGCUGCACCCUU